rnacentral:ncRNA from 1 species
AAGAGCCGUAUGCGGAAAAGCCGCACGUACGGUUCUGUGAGGGGUGCGUCUAGUAAUGGGCGCGUCUACCUCGAC